GGAUCCAGACUUUGAUUAUGGCUCAGGACGAACGCUGGCGGCGCGCCUAACACAUGCAAGUCGAACGAGAGAGAGGAAGCUUGCUUCCUCAAUCGAGUGGCGAACGGGUAAGUAACGCGUGAGGAACCUGCCUCAAAGAGGGGGACAACAGUUGGAAACGACUGCUAAUACCGCAUAAGCCCACGACCCGGCAUCGGGAAGAGGGAAAAGGAGCAAUCCGCUUUGAGAUGGCCUCGCGUCCGAUUAGCUAGUUGGUGAGGUAACGGCCCACCAAGGCGACGAUCGGUAGCCGGACUGAGAGGUUGAACGGCCACAUUGGGACUGAGACACGGCCCAGACUCCUACGGGAGGCAGCAGUGGGGAAUAUUGCACAAUGGGGGAAACCCUGAUGCAGCGACGCCGCGUGGAGGAAGAAGGUCUUCGGAUUGUAAACUCCUGUUGUUGAGGAAGAUAAUGACGGUACUCAACAAGGAAGUGACGGCUAACUACGUGCCAGCAGCCGCGGUAAAACGUAGGUCACAAGCGUUGUCCGGAAUUACUGGGUGUAAAGGGAGCGCAGGCGGGAAGACAAGUUGGAAGUGAAAUCCAUGGGCUCAACCCAUGAACUGCUUUCAAAACUGUUUUUCUUGAGUAGUGCAGAGGUAGGCGGAAUUCCCGGUGUAGCGGUGGAAUGCGUAGAUAUCGGGAGGAACACCAGUGGCGAAGGCGGCCUACUGGGCACCAACUGACGCUGAGGCUCGAAAGUGUGGGUAGCAAACAGGAUUAGAUACCCUGGUAGUCCACACCGUAAACGAUGAUUACUAGGUGUUGGGAGAUUGACCCUCUCAGUGCCGCAGUUAACACAAUAAGUAAUCCACCUGGGGAGUACGACCGCAAGGUUGCAACUCAA
rnacentral:rRNA from 1 species